rnacentral:piRNA from 1 species
GCAAUUUCCACUUCAGGCUUUGCAAG